GCUCAGAUUGAACGCUGGCGGCAUGCCUUACACAUGCAAGUCGAACGGUAACAGGUUAAGCUGACGAGUGGCGAACGGGUGAGUAAUAUAUCGGAACGUGCCCAGUAGUGGGGGAUAGCCCGGCGAAAGCCGGAUUAAUACCGCAUACGACCUACGGGUGAAAGGGGGGGAUCGCAAGACCCCUCGCUAUUGGAGCGGCCGAUAUCAGAUUAGCUAGUUGGUGGGGUAAAAGCUCACCAAGGCGACGAUCUGUAGCUGGUCUGAGAGGACGACCAGCCACACUGGGACUGAGACACGGCCCAGACUCCUAUGGGAGGCAGCAGUGGGGAAUUUUGGACAAUGGACGCAAGUCUGAUCCAGCCAUGCCGCGUGCGGGAAGAAGGCCUUCGGGUUGUAAACCGCUUUUGUCAGGGAAGAAAAGCUCCGAACUAAUAAUUUGGGGUGAUGACGGUACCUGAAGAAUAAGCACCGGCUAACUACGUGCCAGCAGCCGCGGUAAUACGUAGGGUGCAAGCGUUAAUCGGAAUUACUGGGCGUAAAGCGUGCGCAGGCGGUUCUAUAAGACAGAUGUGAAAUCCCCGGGCUCAACCUGGGAACUGCAUUUGUGACUGUAGAGCUGGAGUGCGGCAGAGGGGGAUGGAAUUCCGCGUGUAGCAGUGAAAUGCGUAGAUAUGCGGAGGAACACCGAUGGCGAAGGCAAUCCCCUGGGCCUGCACUGACGCUCAUGCACGAAAGCGUGGGGAGCAAACAGGAUUAGAUACCCUGGUAGUCCACGCCCUAAACGAUGUCAACUGGUUGUUGGGAAGGUUCCUUCUCAGUAACGUAGCUAACGCGUGAAGUUGACCGCCUGGGGAGUACGGCCG
rnacentral:rRNA from 1 species